rnacentral:rRNA from 1 species
UGGGGAAUCUUGCACAAUGGGGGCAACCCUGAUGCAGCGACGCCGCGUGAGCGAUGAAGCCCUUCGGGGCGUAAAGCUCUUUCGACCGGAACGAUAAUGACGGUACCGGGAGAAGAAGCUGCGGCUAACUACGUGCCAGCAGCCGCGGUAAUACGUAGGCAGCAAGCGUUGUUCGGAGUUGCUGGGCGUAAAGAGUGCGUAGGCGGUUUUCUAAGUUCGGUGUGAAAUCUCCCGGCUUAACUGGGAGGGUGCGCCGAAGACUGGGAAGCUGGAGUGUGGGAAAGGCAGGCGGAAUUCCUGGUGUAGCGGUGAAAUGCGUAGAUAUCAGGAGGAACACCGGCGGUGUAGACGGCUUGCUAGACCAUAACUGACGCUGAGGCACGAAAGCGUGGGUAGCAAACA